UGUAAACGAAGUGAAAUUAAGUAAUUUAUAUUUUAUAGUUUUGAAAUCAUAUGAAAAAUGUAACUUAAAAUAAGCACAAUAAUACAAGACAUAACUUACCCUGUGAACCUAUCAAUGGAAUGUAGAAAGAGAAGAGUUAUGUAUAGGAACAUGACGAAAAUUAUUGACGAAACGCAUAAUUCUGUCCAGAGGAAUAUAUUUACUAAAGUUGGACGAUUUAUUAUGACCAAUGUUGGCAGUAAAGUUUAAUUUGUGAUUGGAAAUAAAACCUAGGUUGAUUAGUAAAGGUUUUCAAAGAAAAAUCAGUACUAUUAAUAAAAAAUAAGUGAUUGUCGAAAGACUAGUCGUACAAACAAUACAAGUCGAAUUGAAGAAGAAAACAGUAAUGCAAUAGGCUGUAACAAUUUUAAGUCAUCAGCAGGGAAGAGGAGAUGAGUAUUUUAGAAUGGAAGGAAGGUCGUCAAAAUAUUAAAUAAGAGUGGAGAGAGAUGAUCACCUUGGGGAACACCAAAGGAAACUUUUAUUACUUGAGAUCUAUAACUAUCUAAUGCAACAAUCUGUUCACGGUUUACAGAAAUAUUAUUCAACCUUUGUCACGGGCGACUUGGGAAAUCACAUAGCCUUCAAAUCGUCUCACUCAGACAGCAAUAAUAAGGUGGUUGUUUGUACGCUUUUAAACCACUCACACUUUACCCGGUAUUGGUAUUUAAUUUCUACCAAAAACUUUUAUUUAUUAAACCAACCCUUUUCUCGCUA